rnacentral:rRNA from 1 species
UACAGAGGGUGCAAGCGUUAAUCGGAAUUACUGGGCGUAAAGCGCGCGUAGGUGGUUUGUUAAGUUGGGUGUGAAAGCCCCGGGCUCAACCUGGGAACUGCAUCCAAAACUGGCCAACUAGAGUACAGUAGAGGGUGGUGGAAUUUCCUGUGUAGCGGUGAAAUGCGUAGAUAUAGGAAGGAACACCAGUGGCGAAGGCGGCCUCCUGGUUCAAUACUGACGCUGAGGUGCGAAAGCGUGGGGAUCAAACAGG